rnacentral:rRNA from 1 species
UUGACGGGGCCCGCACAAGCGGUGGAGCAUGUGGUUUAAUUCGACGCAACGCGAAGAACCUUACCAGGGCUUGACAUCCCCUGACCGCGUAUGAAAGUACGUUUUCACCCUCGGGUGACAGGGAGACAGGUGGUGCAUGGUUGUCGUCAGCUCGUGUCGUGAGAUGUUGGGUUAAGUCCCGCAACGAGCGCAACCCCUACGUUUAGUUGCUAACGCGUGAAGGCGAGCACUCUAGACGAACUGCCGUUGACAAAACGGAGGAAGGUGGGAUGACGUCAAAUCAUCAUGCCCCUUAUGUUCUGGGCUACACACGUGCUACAAUGGCCGGUACAGACGGACGCAAAGCCGCGAGGUGGAGCAAAUCCUAAAAAGCCGGUCUCAGUUCGGAUUGCAGGCUGCAAUUCGCCUGCAUGAAGUCGGAAUCGCUAGUAAUCGCAGGUCAGCAUACUGCGGUGAAUACGUUCCCGGGCCUU